rnacentral:rRNA from 2 species
UUAUUGUACCCGGUUUAACUUAAGCAUAUCAAUAAGCGGAGGAAAAGAAACCAACAGGGAUUCCCCUAGUAACGGCGAGUGAAGCGGGAACAGCUCAAAUUUGAAAUCUGGCCCUCGGGUCCGAGUUGUAAUUUGCAGAGGAUGCUUUUGGCGCGGUGCCUUCCGAGUUCCCUGGAACGGGACGCCUUAGAGGGUGAGAGCCCCGUACGGUUGGCCACCAAGCCUGUGUAAAGCUCCUUCGACGAGUCGAGUAGUUUGGGAAUGCUGCUCAAAACGGGAGGUAUAUUUCUUCUAAAGCUAAAUACUGGCCAGAGACCGAUAGCGCACAAGUAGAGUGAUCGAAAGAUGAAAAGCACUUUGAAAAGAGGGUUAAAUAGCACGUGAAAUUGUUGAAAGGGAAGGGUUUAUGACCAGACUUUUUCUAGGGGGAUCAUCCGGUGUUCUCACCGGUGCACUUCCCCUAGUUGAGGCCAGCAUCGGUUUCCGCCGGGGGAUAAAAGCUUCGGGAAUGUGGCUCCUUCGGGAGUGUUAUAGCCCGCUGCAUAAUACCCUGGCGGGGACCGAGGUUCGCGCAUUCGCAAGGAUGCUGGCGUAAUGGUUAUUAACCACCCGUCUUGAAACACGGACCAAGGAGUCGAACAUUUGUGCGAGUGUUUGGGUGUUAAACCCUCACGCGUAAUGAAAGUGAACGGAGGUGAGAGCCUUUAGGGGUGCAUCAUCGACCGAUCCUGAUGUCUUCGGAUGGAUUUGAGUAGGAGCAUCACUGUUCGGACCCGAAAGAUGGUGAACUAUGCGUGGAUAGGGUGAAGCCAGAGGAAACUCUGGUGGAGGCUCGCAGCGGUUCUGACGUGCAAAUCGAUCGUCAAAUCUGCGCAUGGGGCGAAAGACUAA